rnacentral:rRNA from 1 species
AACGAACGCUGGCGGCAUGCCUAACACAUGCAAGUCGAGCGCCCGUAGCAAUACGGGAGCGGCGCACGGGUGAGUAACGCGUGGGAACCUGCCCAGAGGUUCGGGACAACCGCGGGAAACUGCGGCUGAUACCGGAUGAUACCUGAGGGUCAAAGAUUUAUCGCCUCUGGAGGGGCCCGCGUCGGAUUAGGUAGUUGGCGGGGUAACGGCCUACCAAGCCUGUGAUCUGUAACUGGUCUGAGAGGAUGACCAGUCACACUGGGACUGAGACACGGCCCAGACUCCUACGGGAGGCAGCAGUGGGGAGUAUUGGACAAUGGGGGCAACCCUGAUCCAGCAAUGCCGCGUGGGUGAUGAAGGCCUUCGGGUUGUAAAGCCCUUUCGGCGGGGACGAUGAUGACGGUACCCGCAGAAGAAGCCCCGGCUAACUUCGUGCCAGCCGCCGCCGUAAUAC